rnacentral:tRNA from 1 species
GGCGCUGUGGCACAGCAGGUUAAAGCCCUGGUCUGCAGUGCCAGCAUCCCAUGUGGGCACGGGUUUGAAUCCCGGCUGCUCCA